rnacentral:rRNA from 1 species
UACGAACUGUGCGAACGUUAUUCGGAAUCACUGGGCUUAAAGGGUGCGUAGGCGGCGAAUCAAGUCUGUUGUGAAAUCUCCCAGCUCAACUGGGAAAGUGCAGUGGAAACUGAUUUGCUAGAGUGAGGCAGGGGUGUAGGGAACUUCCAGUGGAGCGGUGAAAUGUGUUGAUAUUGGUAGGAACACCGGUGGCGAAAGCGUUACACUGGGCCUUUUCUGACGCUGAGGCACGAAAGCCAGGGGAGCGAACGGG